rnacentral:rRNA from 1 species
CCCUUAUAUGUUCUGGGCCGCACGCGUGCUACACUGAGUGGAUCAGCGGGUCAGGUUGCGCGAAAGUGUUUCCUAAUCUUGAAAUCCGCUCGUGAUGGGGAUUGACGGUUGCAAUUUUCCGUCAUGAACGAGGAAUACCUUGUAAGCGCGGGUCAUCAUCCCGCGCUGAAUACGUCCCUGCCCUUUGUACACACCGCCCGUCGCUCCUACCGAUUGAGUGGUCCGGUGAGGCUUUGGGAUCUGAGCGGAAAGAGCGUUUCGCUGUUUCUGCUCGGAAAACUCAGUCGAACCUUAUCAUUUAGAGGAAGGAGAAGUCGUAACA